rnacentral:rRNA from 1 species
GCCUAAUACAUGCAAGUCGAACGCUUUUUCUUUCACCGGAGCUUGCUCCACCGAAAGAAAAAGAGUGGCGAACGGGUGAGUAACACGUGGGUAACCUGCCCAUCAGAAGGGGAUAACACUUGGAAACAGGUGCUAAUACCGUAUAACAAGUAAAACCGCAUGGUUUUACUUUGAAAGGCGCUUUUGCGUCACUGAUGGAUGGACCCGCGGUGCAUUAGCUAGUUGGUGAGGUAACGGCUCACCAAGGCAACGAUGCAUAGCCGACCUGAGAGGGUGAUCGGCCACAUUGGGACUGAGACACGGCCCAAACUCCUACGGGAGGCAGCAGUAGGGAAUCUUCGGCAAUGGACGAAAGUCUGACCGAGCAACGCCGCGUGAGUGAAGAAGGUUUUCGGAUCGUAAAACUCUGUUGUUAGAGAAGAACAAGGAUGAGAGUAAAAUGUUCAUCCCUUGACGGUAUCUAACCAGAAAGCCACGGCUAACUACGUGCCAGCAGCCGCGGUAAUACGUAGGUGGCAAGCGUUGUCCGGAUUUAUUGGGCGUAAAGCGAGCGCAGGCGGUUUCUUAAGUCUGAUGUGAAAGCCCCCGGCUCAACCGGGGAGGGUCAUUGGAAACUGGGAAACUUGAGUGCAGAAGAGGAGAGUGGAAUUCCAUGUGUAGCGGUGAAAUGCGUAGAUAUAUGGAGGAACACCAGUGGCGAAGGCGGCUCUCUGGUCUGUAACUGACGCUGAGGCUCGAAAGCGUGGGGAGCAAACAGGAUUAGAUACCCUGGUAGUCCACGCCGUAAACGAUGAGUGCUAAGUGUUGGAGGGUUUCCGCCCUUCAGUGCUGCAGCUAACGCAUUAAGCACUCCGCCUGGGGAGUACGACCGCAAGGUUGAAACUCAAAGGAAUUGACGGGGGCCCGCACAAGCGGUGGAGCAUGUGGUUUAAUUCGAAGCAACGCGAAGAACCUUACCAGGUCUUGACAUCCUUUGACCACUCUAGAGAUAGAGCUUCCCCUUCGGGGGCAAAGUGACAGGUGGUUGCAUGGUUGUCGUCAGCUCGUGUCGUGAGAUGUUGGGGUUAAGUCCCGCAACGAGCGCAACCCUUUAUUGUUAGUUGCCAUCAUUU